rnacentral:rRNA from 1 species
UACGGGGGGGGGUAAGCGUUGUUCGGAAUUACUGGGCGUAAAGGGCUCGUAGGCGGCCAACUAAGUCAGACGUGAAAUCCCUCAGCUUAACUGGGGAACUGCGUCUGAUACUGGAUGGCUUGGAUUCGGGAGAGGAAUGCGGAAUUCCGAGGUGUAGCGGUGAAAUGCGUAGAUAUCUGGAGGAACACCGGUGGCGAAGGCGGCAUUCUGGACCGAUAUUGACGCUGAGGAGCGAAAGCCAGGGGAGCCAAAGCGGGG